UGCAGGUCGGACGGGAUUGAGGAGCUUGCUUCUCAUGAGAGUGGCGCACGGGUGCGUAACACGUAUGUAACCUACCUUGUUCAGGGGGAUAGCCUCUCGAAAGAGAGAUUAACACCGCAUAAAAUCAAUUUAUGGCAUCAUAGAAUGAUCAAAUAUUUAUAGGAACAAGAUGGGCAUGCGGAACAUUAGCUAGUUGGUAAGGUAACGGCUUACCAAGGCUACGAUGUUUAGGGGAUCUGAGAGGAUGACCCCCCACACUGGUACUGAGACACGGACCAGACUCCUACGGGAGGCAGCAGUAAGGAAUAUUGGUCAAUGGACGCAAGUCUGAACCAGCCAUGCCGCGUGCAGGAAGACGGCCCUACGGGUUGUAAACUGCUUUUGUACCGGAAUAAACCUUUUCACGUGUGAGAAGCUGAAUGUACGGUAAGAAUAAGGAUCGGCUAACUCCGUGCCAGCAGCCGCGGUAAUACGGAGGAUCCAAGCGUUAUCCGGAUUUAUUGGGUUUAAAGGGUGCGUAGGUGGCCUAUUAAGUCAGGGGUGAAAGACGGUAGCUUAACUAUCGCAGUGCCUUUGAUACUGAUGGGCUUGAAUACACUUGAGGUAGGCGGAAUGUGACAAGUAGCGGUGAAAUGCAUAGAUAUGUCACAGAACACCAAUUGCGAAGGCAGCUUACUAAAGUGUUAUUGACACUGA
rnacentral:rRNA from 1 species